GGCGAGCGGGAGCCCCGGGGGAGGCGGCCGCGGGGGCGGGGCGGGCCCCGGGAGGAGCCCCCACCCCCCGGCGGCGGGGCCCGGCCCGGCCGCUCCGCGCUCCCACGGGUGGUGCCGCGGGGCACGGUCCCGCCUCGAAACCUUUGAGCGCCCCCCCCCCCCGCCCCUUCUCCCCCGCCGUAAUGCCCGCUGCAAACUUCCGCGUCCCCCCCCCCCCCACCCGCGGAGCCCGGAGGGGUCCCGGGGCCGCGGAACGGAGCGGAGCGGAGGCGGCCGGUCCAGCCCUGCCCUGCCCGCCGCCGCGCCCCUCUCCCACGCAAACCGGAGGCGCCGGGGAAGUGGGAAGUCCCAGAAAAGCAGGUCCCGGGUACAGGCUUUUCCGAGAGACGGUGCUCCCUAGGCAGCCCCACUCAGACGGGUGCAACACAGAGUGGGGAGCAUGAGCGGCGCUGCCCCUCCUGCCCCCAGCCCACCACCCCGCCGGGGAGAAGUCGCUGGGUGUGUGGGUGGGCGCGGGCGGGGGGGGGGGGGGGGUGGACUCAGGCCGGGAGAUCCUGUCUGUCAGGGCGUCCCUUCGCCUCUGUCAAACCCCAGCCAAACUUCCCGCGGAGGAGGAGGAGGUGGAGGAGGAGGAGGAGGAGGAGGAGGAGGAGGCGGCGGCGGCCGCUGCCCGCGUCCCGCUCCGCGCCCGGCCCGCGCUCCGCUGCGCCGCCGACCCCGGUCCCGCUGCUGCUGCUGCCAGAAGAUGGAACCGGGCUGCACAUCAGCAAACUACCACGGGGAGAGGGGGAAAGAGAAAGGAAGAAGGAAAGAAAAGGGGGGGGGGGGGGGAAAUGGGGAAGGGGGUGCACUGGAGCAAACCGCGGAGCCCUAGCGAUGGGAGGCAGCAGCUAUGCCGGAGGGAGCAAAGUGUCAGAGCUUCCCCCCCGCCGCACAAACACUCUAAGCUGUCUCUGGUCUUCCCCCCCCCCCCCCCCUCCUCCGUCCCCCUUUAACUUACGAAAACCUUACAGGCAACUAACACACAGUCGUCAGCAUCCUGCUUACUUAUUCAUACAGUCAGGGUCAGGAUCCGGGCUGCUUCUGAUCUGCUCCCUUGAUAGUCUUAUGGAAACACACGCGCAUUCACUAUAUGCCUCUAUCUCCAUAUAGCUUUCUCUCGAGAUAAGCAGUGCAUGGCAUUUAAACAACAACAACAAAAGAAUCGAGAUCAGAUAAAACAAUGCGCAGAUCGACACCCACAGCCCAGCCAAAAAAAAAAAAAAAAAAAAAAAAAAAAAAAAAGGCAGCUCUAGAGAAUGGGUGAUGAGGAGGACGAUGAGAAGAAUUAACUGCAAAUUAGGAGACGGGAAAAUAAAUCGGUGGCUGUGUAUUUCUCCCUCUGCUGCGGCUGCUUUGCAGUGUUAGCCCCAUGAGCUGACGGGUGGGGGUUAAGGAGCGAGGGGGAGGGGGAAAGAGAAAAGUUUAAGCGUCCAUAGUUUGUUUAAAACAGAAGAAGGCAAUAUAAGAGGUCCAUUGGUUUCCAGAAGUUCAGCCAAGCAGCUGGGAACCCGUUCCAAAAUGAAAGUAAGAACAAACAAACAAAUAGAAAAAAAAAAAAAAUCAAGGCAAAC